rnacentral:rRNA from 1 species
GGCUACACACGUGCUACAAUGGGUAGUACAGAGAGUCGCAAAGCCGUGAGGUGGAGCUAAUCUCAGAAAACUAUUCUUAGUUCGGAUUGUACUCUGCAACUCGAGUACAUGAAGUUGGAAUCGCUAGUAAUCGCGAAUCAGCAAUGUCGCGGUGAAUACGUUCUCGGGUCUUGUACACACCGCCCGUCACACCACGAGAGUUGGUUGCACCUGAAGUAGCAGGCCUAACCGUAAGGAGGGAUGCUCCGAGGGUGUGAUUAGCGAUUGGGGUGAAGUCGUGACAAGGUAUCCGUACGGGAACGU